UUGACUACGCACAGCUCUGGGGUCAGAGGAUAAACUGAACUCAGCGCUCCACUUCUUCCACUUUUCAAUUAUCACUAAAAAAAAAAAAAGAUGUUGAAGUGUUUAACUGUAUUCAUUAUAAUGCGGACAGUUGUCCUUAGUUCUGGCUUUAAAAUGUAUCUUUUGUACCAAACAGGCCUUUAACAAAAAAAGUGAAUUUAAAUGUCAGUGCUUUAAGCCAUGGUUGUUGUCUACGUGGAGCAUUAGACCAAACUUAAUGCAACAUUCUAACAGUUUAAUAUGACUUGACAUGCUAUGUUAGCAAUAAGCUUAGGCGAAGCUGACAGAACCCAGCUUAGACUGGAUGUUCAGCUGAGCCUGAAAAAGUCUGGUGAAAGUUGAGCCUUCUGAGGUGACGAGAUGAGUUUGAAAUGUCCCAAAAUGGACAUUCAGCCCUGUGACUGAAAGACUAAAGGAAUGAACGAGUGAUUUUGUGUCUUUAUUAUGCGGUCAAACACAAUGGGUUUGAGAGCAAAACUUUCCACGCUGCAAUCAAAAAACCGAUUUGAGAGCAAAACUACAGACACUGCGACCAAUAAAUCAUUUUUUAUUCCAAAUAAAAUUAAUUUGUGAUUAAAAAAAAAAAAUGCUGUUGAGCUGACUCACUGUGCGGGACCUACGCUGAAAGAUGUAAGACGCGUCCCUAUUGGCCAGCCUGAGCGGAGUGACAGCUUGGCAACAUCCACUGUUAGCAGACAGGAGAAGACAGAAAGCCAGUGCACAGAUUGUUUUCCAAGCUGGCACAGAGCCUAAUCAUUUGAAUGGAUCGUCAUGCACCUGUGCAGCAGGCAAAGUGCUAUACGUCCAUCUUCUGGCCAUGCUGUUUCAGAGUGCUCAUUACAGCACGAUGCAGGUGAAGGCAGUACCACCAACUAUGGCCUGCACAAGCACUCUGCAAACAUGGCAUCGGCCACGGACACAGGAUGACUGAUCAAGAGCUCACUGAACGGUGUGGAAUACUUGACUUAUUGGAGCCACGAGAUGGCUGCAUGGCAGACAAAGGGUUCACCAUUAAGAAGAUGCUGGCUGACCGUGGGGCAAAGCUGAUCAUACGCCCCUUUAAAACCACUUCAGCAAAGAGAUGCUCUGAAAACACAAGCCUUAGCUUGGCUUAAGGUUCUUGUUGAAAGAGCAAUCAGAAGAGUUAAAGAAUAUCAUAUCUGGGACAACACUCUUCCUCUAACUUUGUCCAGGACAGUCAACCAGCUGUGGACCAACUGCUGCUUGAUGACCAACUUUCAGGGACAACUUGAUUUGAAAGGCCACAUACCUGUUGUAUAGAGUAUGAAUGUGUUAUUGUUAAAUGUUGUAGCCCCUAAUGAAUUAUCCUUUAGACAGUGGUGCAAUGUAAGUAAGUACAUUUACUCAGGUACUGAAGUACAGUUUUGACAUACUUGUACUUUACUUGAGUAUUUCCAUUUAAUGCUACUUUAUACUUUUACCCCACUACAUUUCAGAGGCAAAUAUUGUACUUUUUAUUCCAUUGCAUUUAUUUGACACUUAUAGUUACUUUUCUCAGAAAAAAACAUGAAAUACUGAUAUGAUAUGAUGCACUACCGUGCUACUAAUCUACCCAGUGGUACACAAGGUAUCUAAAAUUGGCUCCACAUUGAUGAACUACAUUAACAUCUUCUUACACGUAUUUGUUAGUGAAAAAACAGAUUAAUAUAAUAUUCUAUGAUAAAAUAACAUUUUUAA